rnacentral:misc_RNA from 1 species
UUUCCGUAGGUGAACCUGCGGAAGGAUCAUUAUUGUAUAACCGAGGUGCGAGGGCUGUCGCUGACCCGAAAGGUCGUGCACGCCCGAGUGCCCUCACUCACAUCCAUCUCACCCCUAUGUGCACCACCGCGUGGGUCCCCCUUUGGCUUGUUCGGAGGGGGGCUUACGUUUUCACACAGACUUCGUAUGCAGUGUAGAAUGUAUUUUUUGUUUUUGCGAUCACGCAAUCAAUACAACUUUCAACAACGGAUCUCUUGGCUCUC